rnacentral:rRNA from 2 species
AGAGUUUGAUCCUGGCUCAGGAUGAACGCUAGCUACAGGCUUAACACAUGCAAGUCGAGGGGCAGCAUGGUCUUAGCUUGCUAAGACUGAUGGCGACCGGCGCACGGGUGAGUAACACGUAUCCAACCUGCCUUAUACUCCCGGACAGCCUUCUGAAAGGAAGAUUAAUACGGGAUGGUAUCACGAGCCAGCAUUUUCUCGUGAUUAAAGAACUUCGGUAUAAGAUGGGGAUGCGUUCCAUUAGAUAGUAGGCGGGGUAACGGCCCACCUAGUCGACGAUGGAUAGGGGUUCUGAGAGGAAGGUCCCCCACAUUGGAACUGAGACACGGUCCAAACUCCUACGGGAGGCAGCAGUGAGGAAUAUUGGUCAAUGGGCGCGAGCCUGAACCAGCCAAGUAGCGUGAAGGAUGACUGCCCUACGGGUUGUAAACUUCUUUUAUAAAGGAAUAAAGUGAGGCACGUGUGCCUUUUUGUAUGUACUUUAUGAAUAAGGAUCGGCUAACUCCGUGCCAGCAGCCGCGGUAAUACGGAGGAUCCGAGCGUUAUCCGGAUUUAUUGGGUUUAAAGGGAGCGUAGAUGGGUUGUUAAGUCAGUUGUGAAAGUUUGCGGCUCAACCGUAAAAUUGCAAUUGAUACUGGCAGCCUUGAGUACAGUUGAGGUAGGCGGAAUUCGUGGUGUAGCGGUGAAAUGCUUAGAUAUCACGAAGAACUCCGAUUGCGAAGGCAGCUUACUAAACUGCCACUGACAUUGAUGCUCGAAAGUGUGGGUAUCAAACAGGAUUAGAUACCCUGGUAGUCCACACGGUAAACGAUGAAUACUCGCUGUUUGCGAUAUACAGCAAGCGGCCAAGCGAAAGCGUUAAGUAUUCCACCUGGGGAGUACGCCGGCAACGGUGAAACUCAAAGGAAUUGACGGGGGCCCGCACAAGCGGAGGAACAUGUGGUUUAAUUCGAUGAUACGCGAGGAACCUUACCCGGGCUUGAAUUGCACUCGAAUAUAGCGGAAACGUUAUAGCUAGCAAUAGCGAGUGUGAAGGUGCUGCAUGGUUGUCGUCAGCUCGUGCCGUGAGGUGUCGGCUUAAGUGCCAUAACGAGCGCAACCCUUGUCUAUAGUUACUAACAGGUCAUGCUGAGGACUCUAUGGAGACUGCCAUCGUAAGAUGUGAGGAAGGUGGGGAUGACGUCAAAUCAGCACGGCCCUUACGUCCGGGGCCACACACGUGUUACAAUGGGGGGUACAGAGGGCCGCUACCACGCAAGUGGAUGCCAAUCCCGAAAGCCUCUCUCAGUUCGGACUGGAGUCUGCAACCCGACUCCACGAAGCUGGAUUCGCUAGUAAUCGCGCAUCAGCCAUGGCGCGGUGAAUACGUUCCCGGGCCUUGUACACACCGCCCGUCAAGCCAUGGGAGCCGGGGGUACCUGAAGUGCGUAACCGCAAGGAGCGCCCUAGGGUAAAACUGGUGACUGGGGCUAAGUCGUAACAAGGUAGCCGUACCGGAAGGUGCGGCUGGAACACCU